AGUUUUCUAUUUAAAUCUCGAAAACGUUUUAUUUCAUUUCAUUGAUUACAUUACAUGUCAUGUUGGUGACGCAUUUAUCCAAAAGCGACUUACAAAAAGUGCAUUUCAACCGUAUAGCAAAAGUAAAUACAUCGUACUGAUCACCGUUGUUGGCUUUAAGCACAGCAUCUCUCUGUAGGCUCAUCCACCUGAAAGCAGGAAAGCAUGGCAGGUGCUGCCCAGCUUUUCCUGCUGUGCUGCCUGCUUCGAGGUAGUUUAUGCCAGGAAUGGGCGAGCUUCAUGCCUCAGAGUCUACAGGGACUCAGUGGGUCCUGUGUGAUGAUCAACUGCACUUUCAGCAUUCUCCCAACAUAUGAUCAAUACCUGGAUGAUACCUGUGUAGCCAUAUGGACAACAGGCACGCUGUUUGGGCCAACUGUGUUUAACUCUGGGCUCACUGGACAAAGUGCAAACAUUCUGCAAGGAAACCUAACAGGAAACCUGCAUACAAAGGACUGCACCACCGUCUUCCACAACAUGUCACCAAAAGAUAAUAACACAUAUUACUUCAGACUGCAG